rnacentral:rRNA from 1 species
AGAGUUUGAUCCUGGCUCAGGACGAACGCUGGCGGCGUGCCUAAUACAUGCAAGUCGAACGAAGCUUUCUUUCACCGAAUGCUCGCAUUCACCGAAAGAAGCUUAGUGGCGAACGGGUGAGUAACACGUAGGCAACCCACCCAAAAGAGGGGGAUAACACUUGGAAACAGGUGCUAAUACCGCAUAACCAUGAACACCGCAUGAUGUUCGUGUAAAAGACGGCUUUUGCUGUCACUUUUGGAUGGGCCUGCGGCGUAUUAACUUGUUGGUGGGGUAACGGCCUACCAAGGUGAUGAUACGUAGCCGAACUGAGAGGUUGAUCGGCCACAUUGGGACUGAGACACGGCCCAAACUCCUACGGGAGGCAGCAGUAGGGAAUCUUCCACAAUGGACGAAAGUCUGAUGGAGCAACGCCGCGUGAAUGAAGAAGGCCUUCGGGUCGUAAAAUUCUGUUGUCAGAGAAGAAUGUGCGUGAGAGUAACUGUUCACGUAUUGACGGUAUCUGACCAGAAAGCCACGGCUAACUACGUGCCAGCAGCCGCGGUAAUACGUAGGUGGCAAGCGUUGUCCGGAUUUAUUGGGCGUAAAGGGAACGCAGGCGGUCUUUUAAGUCUGAUGUGAAAGCCUUCGGCUUAACCGAAGUAGUGCAUUGGAAACUGGAAGACUUGAGUGCAGAAGAGGAGAGUGGAACUCCAUGUGUAGCGGUGAAAUGCGUAGAUAUAUGGAAGAACACCAGUGGCGAAAGCGGCUCUCUGGUCUGUAACUGACGCUGAGGUUCGAAAGCGUGGGUAGCAAACAGGAUUAGAUACCCUGGUAGUCCACGCCGUAAACGAUGAGUGCUAAGUGUUGGAGGGCUUCCGCCCUUCAGUGCUGCAGCUAACGCAUUAAGCACUCCGCCUGGGGAGUACGGUCGCAAGACUGAAACUCAAAGGAAUUGACGGGGGCCCGCACGAGCGGUGGAGCAUGUGGUUUAAUUCGAAGCAACGCGAAGAACCUUACCAGGUCUUGACAUCUUCUGACAAUUCCAGAGAUGGAACGUUCCCUUCGGGGACAGAAUGACAGGUGGUGCAUGGUUGUCGUCAGCUCGUGUCGUGAGAUGUUGGGUUAAGUCCCGCAACGAGCGCAACCCUUAUUGUCAGUUGCCAUCAUUAAGUUGGGCACUCUGGCGAGACUGCCGGUGACAAACCGGAGGAAGGUGGGGAUGACGUCAAAUCAUCAUGCCCCUUAUGACCUGGGCUACACACGUGCUACAAUGGACGGUACAACGAGUCGCUAACUCGCGAGGGCAAGCUAAUCUCUUAAAGCCGUUCUCAGUUCGGAUUGCAGGCUGCAACUCGCCUGCAUGAAGUCGGAAUCGCUAGUAAUCGCGAAUCAGCAUGUCGCGGUGAAUACGUUCCCGGGCCUUGUACACACCGCCCGUCACACCAUGAGAGUUUGUAACACCCAAAGUCGGUGGGGUAACCUUUUGGAGCCAGCCGCCUAAGGUGGGACAGAUGGUUGGGGUGAAGUCGUAACAAGGUA